ACGCGCGGACUUAAUCCAGCUAGGGUACAACGACUGACGUGUAUUUGGAGAGCCAAUUUUUUUUUUUUUAAACUUAAACUUCUAACAACGCCACUUCUUCAAAAUAGACUCGCCCAGGCCGUGGUAUUUUUGUGGAAGAGCCACACUCUCAAGGGGCCAAAGAGCCGCAGUUUGCCGACCACGGAGCUGCUAGAGCAAAGCCUAGCAGACGUGAAGGGGGGCUCUGUGGGACGUUCCCAACUUGAUAAAAUGGAGUAACUGAGAGACCCUCCCACGAAUCCAACAGUGUCGCCAGGCCCCUACAGGAACCCAGUAACUUUUCCCGCCAACCUGUGCCGGACUUCUCUCCUCAGUCAGUCACCUCUCAGUAUGAGGGCAGGUGAGUCUGCCAGGAGGGGGCAGCCAGGGGCGGCAGGGAGAGACCUGGACUAGGAGCAUUCAGGCCUCAUUCUAGUUCUAUUUUGAUCACCCACCUGCCUGGUGUUGUCAGACAGGCAUUGGUGCCUCUCUGGGGAUAACUGCAGUCUGAGUAUGGAGACCCAGGAGGAAGGGGGAAGUGAGAGCCCCAGAAAUCAACCAAGGCCCAGUUUCUGGGGACGGUGCAAAGACAGAACCACCACCCAGGGUAGGCAUUUUUACCAUUGCCAGACGGGGACAAAGAUCCUGCCAUGAUUGGCUGAUGGGAAAAUAGACUCAUGGAUCUGACACCACCACCAUAAACCAACACUUGAAUAAUUCAACCUAUCAGAGGCCUGGUUCUUGUCCAGAAAAAUUCCAGCCCCAAAGCAAAAGAUUUCUCUGAAGGGAAGCACUCACCCACAAACAGUAAUACUAUCUCCAGAUGCAAGGUCUUAUUUUCCUACCUUACCUCCAGGAAAUUCAGCUGAGAAACCACAGCCUCUAUUUACUUUUUGGAACAGACUUCGGAACGUCUCUCCCCAGAAACUUCUUGGACUGUACAGUUGUAUUAGUCCUGCUAAUGUUUUCCUGAAUAAUUAAAAUAAAGGAAAUGUGAUAUU